UGGCUUGGUUUCCUGGGGUGUGGGCUCAGCAUGCCCCACCUCCCCUCAGCCCAGCCUAGAGCAUAGAGGUCUGCUUCCCCCUGCCAUGGGAGAGGUUCUUGAGAUGGGAGCCUUGUCCCCAGGACUGUUUUGGCCUCACAUUA
ensembl:scaRNA small Cajal body-specific RNA 21